GGUGGGCCGGACAGAAAGGGUUGAAGAAGGAGAGAGAGAAGGAUGCAGGAUCAGAAGAGGCAACAGCAGACUGAGUGAAAGAUGGAGAAGUAGGACAAGUGCGUUCAGACGUCGACAGCGAUGCGGCUAAUACUCGACCCAGAAUGGAGGGAGGAUGGAACCGAGGAGAGGAUGACGGUCGCAUAUAUGAAGAGCGUCCCCAUUUUGGAAAGAAGGUUAAAGUCUGUCUAAGGUGCAAUUAAAAAGCUGAAUGGUUGAAGGUUUCCGGUCUACACUUCAACACUGAAGUCUACAGCAGGUCUGGCUGAAUUUGCACUGGAAAGGGUGAAGUAACAGAAAAGGAGAGUGAAUGGGGAUUGGGGGAUUGUGGGUGUGAGUGGGUGGGUGGGUAUGCUCACCCUCUGUGAAUUUGCUUCUGUGUGUUUUCCUGUGUUUGACAAAGUUCGGGAGGAGGGGGCGAUGGGGGGUAUCUGAGGAAAGAAAAGGGAAAAUGAGAGCAAGUGGAGGAUUUGAAUGUGGUGUAGAAGGAGGGGGGAUUUUUGGAGGGAAAUGGAGGACCGGGAAGCUUGAAGUUUGUGUGGCCAGACUGUGUGCAGCUUCACAGCAAGAGGAGCGUAAAUUGGUCAGAUUUAUAGAUUGAACCUGCAGGAAGCAUCUUUGCAGGCUGGGAAAUAUGUAUAGAGAAAGAGAAAAUGCAAGAGAGGGACAGAGCGGCCUAGUUGGAGGGCAGAGGGGGGGAUCAAGAGCGAGGCUGCAUUAAUAUGCUAAUGUCUUGAGUGAAUGCACAACAGGCCCACUGACCAGGCUAAUCACUGGUGGACACACACUGAGGCUAAUCCCUAAAGCGGCACUGACACACACGGGAGAGGAGCACAUAUUUAGAUAGUGACAUCUUCAGCAUUAAUUAGUGUCCCUGUUGGAUAUCCCUGAAACGAUCAGGUUUGGGUUUAGGUUUUUUAAAUUAAGUAGAAACUUAGUGACAGCAGGAGGAUUUCAGGUCAGAAGGUAGAGGAACAACUGAUUGCUUCUGUCUGAUUACUAAUCACAAAUAUUAAGGGUUUAUUUGUUGCAGGAAGAAUGUAAUGCAAAUUAAACCACAGAGAGACAAAAACAAUCCAGAGGAGCAUCAAGAGGUUUGCAAACUUUAGACAGCAAAAAACUGUUUCUAACAAAACAAAACAAAAGUAAUUCUUUUAAACUGGCAAAGAUGCUGAAACACCAUCAUCUGUUAAAA